UCGAGAAUCUUCCGCAAUGGACGAAAGUCUGACGGAGCGACGCCGCGUGCAGGAUGAAGUGCUUCGGCAUGUAAACUGCUUUUAUGAGUGAAGAAGUUUAUUGACAUUAGCUCAUGAAUAAGAGGUUGCUAAACUCGUGCCAGCAGCAGCGGUAAUACGAGUGCCUCAAGCGUUAUCCGGAAUUAUUGGGCGUAAAGGGUGUGUAGGUGGUAUUGUUAGUCUCUUGUUAAAGACCUUGGCUUAACCAAGGCAGCGCAAGGGAUACGGCAAAACUAGAGGAUACAAGAGGUGUACGGAACUCAUAGUGUAGGGGUGAAAUCCGUUGAUAUUAUGGGGAACACCAAAAGCGAAGGCAGUACACUGGUGUACUCCUGACACUGAAACACGAAAGCGUGGGGAGCGAAUGGG
rnacentral:rRNA from 1 species